UACGUAGGAGGCAAGCGUUGUCCGGAAUUACUGGGCGUAAAGCGCGUGUAGGUGGUGGGACAAGUCUGCUGUGAAAGCGCCUGGCUUAACCGGGCGAGGUCGGCGGAAACUGUCCGACUCGAGGACGGUAGAGGGGGGUGGAAUUCCCGGUGUAGUGGUGAAAUGCGUAGAGAUCGGGAGGAACACCUGUGGCGAAAGCGGCUCACUGGACCAUAACUGACGCUGAUGCACGAAAGCUAGGGGAGCAAACAGG
rnacentral:rRNA from 1 species